UUAAGCGACUAAGCGUACACGGUGGAUGCCCUGGCAGUCAGAGGCGAUGAAGGACGUGCUAAUCUGCGAUAAGCGUCGGUAAGGUGAUAUGAACCGUUAUAACCGGCGAUUUCCGAAUGGGGAAACCCAGUGUGAUUCGUCACACUAUCAUUAACUGAAUCCAUAGGUUAAUGAGGCGAACCGGGAGAACUGAAACAUCUAAGUACCCCGAGGAAAAGAAAUCAACCGAGAUUCCCCCAGUAGCGGCGAGCGAACGGGGAGCAGCCCAGAGCCUGAAUCAGUGUGUGUGUUAGUGGAAGCGUCUGGAAAGGCGCGCGAUACAGGGUGACAGCCCCGUACACAAAAAUGCACAUAUUGUGAGCUCGAUGAGUAGGGCGGGACACGUGGUAUCCUGUCUGAAUAUGGGGGGACCAUCCUCCAAGGCUAAAUACUCCUGACUGACCGAUAGUGAACCAGUACCGUGAGGGAAAGGCGAAAAGAACCCCGGCGAGGGGAGUGAAAAAGAACCUGAAACCGUGUACGUACAAGCAGUGGGAGCACGCUUAGGCGUGUGACUGCGUACCUUUUGUAUAAUGGGUCAGCGACUUAUAUUCUGUAGCAAGGUUAACCGAAUAGGGGAGCCGAAGGGAAACCGAGUCUUAACUGGGCGUUAAGUUGCAGGGUAUAGACCCGAAACCCGGUGAUCUAGCCAUGGGCAGGUUGAAGGUUGGGUAACACUAACUGGAGGACCGAACCGACUAAUGUUGAAAAAUUAGCGGAUGACUUGUGGCUGGGGGUGAAAGGCCAAUCAAACCGGGAGAUAGCUGGUUCUCCCCGAAAGCUAUUUAGGUAGCGCCUCGUGAAUUCAUCUCCGGGGGUAGAGCACUGUUUCGGCAAGGGGGUCAUCCCGACUUACCAACCCGAUGCAAACUGCGAAUACCGGAGAAUGUUAUCACGGGAGACACACGGCGGGUGCUAACGUCCGUCGUGAAGAGGGAAACAACCCAGACCGCCAGCUAAGGUCCCAAAGUCAUGGUUAAGUGGGAAACGAUGUGGGAAGGCCCAGACAGCCAGGAUGUUGGCUUAGAAGCAGCCAUCAUUUAAAGAAAGCGUAAUAGCUCACUGGUCGAGUCGGCCUGCGCGGAAGAUGUAACGGGGCUAAACCAUGCACCGAAGCUGCGGCAGCGACGCUGAUGCGUUGUUGGGUAGGGGAGCGUUCUGUAAGCCUGCGAAGGUGUGCUGUGAGGCAUGCUGGAGGUAUCAGAAGUGCGAAUGCUGACAUAAGUAACGAUAAAGCGGGUGAAAAGCCCGCUCGCCGGAAGACCAAGGGUUCCUGUCCAACGUUAAUCGGGGCAGGGUGAGUCGACCCCUAAGGCGAGGCCGAAAGGCGUAGUCGAUGGGAAACAGGUUAAUAUUCCUGUACUUGGUGUUACUGCGAAGGGGGGACGGAGAAGGCUAUGUUGGCCGGGCGACGGUUGUCCCGGUUUAAGCGUGUAGGCUGGUUUUCCAGGCAAAUCCGGAAAAUCAAGGCUGAGGCGUGAUGACGAGGCACUACGGUGCUGAAGCAACAAAUGCCCUGCUUCCAGGAAAAGCCUCUAAGCAUCAGGUAACAUCAAAUCGUACCCCAAACCGACACAGGUGGUCAGGUAGAGAAUACCAAGGCGCUUGAGAGAACUCGGGUGAAGGAACUAGGCAAAAUGGUGCCGUAACUUCGGGAGAAGGCACGCUGAUAUGUAGGUGAAGUCCCUUGCGGAUGGAGCUGAAAUCAGUCGAAGAUACCAGCUGGCUGCAACUGUUUAUUAAAAACACAGCACUGUGCAAACACGAAAGUGGACGUAUACGGUGUGACGCCUGCCCGGUGCCGGAAGGUUAAUUGAUGGGGUCAGCGCAAGCGAAGCUCUUGAUCGAAGCCCCGGUAAACGGCGGCCGUAACUAUAACGGUCCUAAGGUAGCGAAAUUCCUUGUCGGGUAAGUUCCGACCUGCACGAAUGGCGUAAUGAUGGCCAGGCUGUCUCCACCCGAGACUCAGUGAAAUUGAACUCGCUGUGAAGAUGCAGUGUACCCGCGGCAAGACGGAAAGACCCCGUGAACCUUUACUAUAGCUUGACACUGAACAUUGAGCCUUGAUGUGUAGGAUAGGUGGGAGGCUUUGAAGUGUGGACGCCAGUCUGCAUGGAGCCGACCUUGAAAUACCACCCUUUAAUGUUUGAUGUUCUAACGUUGACCCGUGAUCCGGGUUGCGGACAGUGUCUGGUGGGUAGUUUGACUGGGGCGGUCUCCUCCUAAAGAGUAACGGAGGAGCACGAAGGUUGGCUAAUCCUGGUCGGACAUCAGGAGGUUAGUGCAAUGGCAUAAGCCAGCUUGACUGCGAGCGUGACGGCGCGAGCAGGUGCGAAAGCAGGUCAUAGUGAUCCGGUGGUUCUGAAUGGAAGGGCCAUCGCUCAACGGAUAAAAGGUACUCCGGGGAUAACAGGCUGAUACCGCCCAAGAGUUCAUAUCGACGGCGGUGUUUGGCACCUCGAUGUCGGCUCAUCACAUCCUGGGGCUGAAGUAGGUCCCAAGGGUAUGGCUGUUCGCCAUUUAAAGUGGUACGCGAGCUGGGUUUAGAACGUCGUGAGACAGUUCGGUCCCUAUCUGCCGUGGGCGCUGGAGAACUGAGGGGGGCUGCUCCUAGUACGAGAGGACCGGAGUGGACGCAUCACUGGUGUUCGGGUUGUCAUGCCAAUGGCACUGCCCGGUAGCUAAAUGCGGAAGAGAUAAGUGCUGAAAGCAUCUAAGCACGAAACUUGCCCCGAGAUGAGUUCUCCCUGACCCUUUAAGGGUCCUGAAGGAACGUUGAAGACGACGACGUUGAUAGGCCGGGUGUGUAAGCGCAGCGAUGCGUUGAGCUAACCGGUACUAAUGAACCGUGAGGCUUAACCUU
rnacentral:rRNA from 1 species